GAGAUGCAGCCUAAUGCAGCCCUUUAACUGCAGCUCUGAAGAUCAGACUGUCAGCUGAAAAAGCGUAAGUGCUGAGAGUUCGGUGGUCAACUGUGACAAACGCAAGGUCAGGAUGUUCUGGUUUCCCAGAGGAAGUGGGCACUCGCACCUGCCAGAAGGAGUGCAAAGAGUUCCUGGAUGAAGUGCGGCUGACCCAAGCUGUGAAGGUUUGGUAGGACUGGCCUGGUUGCACAGAAGAAAGAGCAGACUGUCCCCUGCCGACAGGAAUUCUGCGACGUACUGCGGCCAAUCCCAGACGUGAGGCACAAGAGUAGGAGGUUUUCCCCAACCCGACACCAACUGCAGUCAUCGUAAGAAGAUGCGGAAGCACGGCGAGCAGUCCCAGCCCAGCAGAGCCCAGCCAAGUAGAGCCCAGCUAGCCCAGCAGAGUGCAACAGAAGUGGCAGAUAGAAGGACCCAAAUCCGUCACCAGGAUGCCUAAUAGAGAAGAUUUUGAAUUUAUUCUAUUCUGUCUCUUUCCUGUCUUCUAUCCACUCCCCUUAAUCUAACAUCACUAACCAUCCCAACCCCUAAACUCCUUUAUGUCCUUCCCGGAUGAGCUUCUUUUUUCACUAAUUUUGUUGUAGUGUUGUUGUUGUUUUGAAUUUGUACUAAUUUUGUGUCAGUUGUGUAUUUUCAGAGACUGGGACGUGGUACGACGCUGGAGGAUCAAGGCCGGCCAACAGAUGAAGAUUCCAUUGUCCAGUUAUGAAGACCGGCCCACAUGGCCGAAGGAAAAUGGUUAGGCAAGCAUCUGUCCCACUGUGACGUACAGCAGUAUUCUGGAGUGCAGGGAUGGACUGCAGCCAACCAUUGAAGAGAGGAUAUUCAGGGUUAUGCAGACCUCUAUCUCCAGCUCUGAAGAGCAAAUAGUCACCUUAAGGGCAAGAGUGCUGAGCUUUCAGGGGUCAACUGUGCCAAACCCAAGGUCAAGAUGUUGUGGAUUUCCAGAGGAAGUGCACACUCAGGCCUGGCAGAAGGAGUGCAAGCUAAGAGUUCCUGGAUGUAGUGCAACCGACCCAAGCUCUGAAGAUGUAGGUUAGACUGACCUGGUUCCACAAAAGAAAGAGCAGACUGUCUCCUGCCGAGGGACUGCGGCCAAUCCCAGACAUGAGGCAACAGAAGAGUAGGAGGUUUUCUCCAUCAUGGAUGCCAACUGCAGCCAUCAGAAGAUGAUGUGUAAGCAAGGCGAGCAGCCCAGCCCAGCCCAGCAGAGCCCAGCAAAAGUGGCAGGGAGCAGGAUCCUAUUCUGCCACCAAGAAGGCUAAUAGAGAAGAUUUUGAAUUUAUUCUUUUCUGUCUCUUUCCUGUCUCCCAUCCACUUCCCUUAAUCUAACAGUACUAACCAUCCCAACCCCUAAAUUCAUUUAUGCCCUUCCACAUUGUAACUGUCUUGAUCUACAAGCUUCUUCUUCCAUUAACUUUGUUGUAAUGUUGAUGAAUUUCUUUCGAUUUAUGUGUUUGUUUUGAAUUUGUACUAAUUUUGUGUCAGUUGUGUAUUUUCAGAGACUCGGACGUGGUACGACGCUGGGGAACAAGGCCGGCCAACAGAUGAAGAUUCCAUUGUCCAAUUAUGCAGACCCUCUAACAUUGGCCUGAGCGGAAAAUGGUUUGGCAAGCGUCAGUGAGAAAGGAUGGACUGCAGCCAACCAUUGAAGAGAGGAGAUGCAGUGUAAUGCAGUCCUCUAUCUCCAGCUCUGAAGAGCAGACUGUCAGCUGAAAAGCAAGAGUGCUGAGCUUUCAGGGGUCAACUGCGGCAAACCCAAGGUCAAGAUGUUGUGGAUUCCCAGAGGAAGUGAGCACUCAGUCCUGGCUGAAGGAGUGCAAACUAAGACCUCCUGGAUGUAGUGUGGCCGACCCAAGUUCUGAAGACAUACUUUGUGUGCAUCAUGAACUCUGUGCAUUUUGUUACUCAUUCCGUUUUGGUGGAGUGUUACUUUGGUUUUGACCUU